UACGAAAGGAGCAAAAGUUUUUCAUCUUGAUUUGGCGUAAAGGGUUUCUAGACACUUCCUGGAAGUUUUGAGUAGACAAAAGUAGAGUUAGACUUUACUCAUCUAUGAUUUUAACACAAGAAGUUGCGUUUUCCAGAGGUUAUCAGAACUUUGAGGGGAUGGGGUAAAAUCCGGUGAUCCAAGAGGGAAUGCCAGCGGCGAAAGCGGAUAACUGGGGUAGACAGACGUUCAAGAACUAAGGCGUGGGGAUCAAACAGG
rnacentral:rRNA from 1 species